CAGGUAGAAGUGUGGUUGACUUUUGGUGGAGGCACCAGACUGGAUGUUGGAAGCAACCGUGCCCUCACCCUCACGGUGCUGCCCCCCUCCAGUGAGGAACUGUCCAGUAAGAGUACGGCCACGCUGAUGUGUCUGGCCAACAAGGGCUUCCCCUCAGACUGGACACUCAGCUGGAAGGUGGACGGGAGCAGCAAGAAGGGCCAGGAGGCCAGCAGGGGGCUCCUGGAGAAGGACGGCCAGUACAGCUGGAGCAGCACCCUGACUCUCACUGCCCAGGAGUGGGCCAAGGUGCUGGAGGUGACCUGUGAGGCCCACCAAAGCUCCCAGCCUACGGUCACUCACACCCUGAAGAGAGAGCAGUGUUCUGAGUAGCCCCAGGCUCACACAGCCCUGUGGAGAGGGGCUGCUUCCUCUGCUGCGACUCUGUUCUGUGCUCAGCCAUUCUCUGUCCUCCUGAUGGCUCACAUGCAGACUAACAGGGAGCUUUGUUAGAGUCCACUUGUCGCUGCUGUUUGUAGACUGAGGUGUUAUCAGUGCUAAAGUUGACGUGUUCUGCU